UCCAUUAAUACAAUACAAGUUUUCCAAUUUUCAUUUUCUUUUAUAUUGACUAAUAAAUUUAAUUAUUAUCAGACAAUUACUAUCAAAGCAGAUACUAAACAGAUGGUUGCGGGUACUAAAGUCUUCUCCUGGGUAUGCUUGAAGGCGGUCAAUGUAGAUGCGGCUGUGCUGCAUUACCAGCUUCAUGGAAGUACUCUCCCGGGAACAUACUCGAGGGCAGUCAGUGUCAGUGUAGAUGGUACAUAAUUGACACUCGCAGUGUAAUGGAAGCGGGCGGCGGCUGCGAAAGCAAAAUGACAGAAAGUUCGAAAUAACUGCAACAUCACCAAAAUCACCAACAUGAGUGUCAUGCGGAAGCUAGUAGUCCCAGUCUUCCUUUACGCGACAGAGACGUGGACACAACACACAUGUGUAUAAGAUGUGACUGUUUAACAGUUAUGUGGUUGCGGAUACUGAAGUGUUCUCCUGGGAGUAAUUGAGGGACGUCGAUGUAGAUGCGGCUGUGCUGCAUUACCAGCUUCAUGGAAGUACUCUCCCGGGAACAUACUCGAGGGCAGUCAGUGUCAGUGUAGAUGGUACAUACUUGAACAUCGCUGCAUAAUGAGAGCGGGUGGCGGCUCUUGCAAAACUGUGAAACAGAAAUCAAAGUUAUAAAGAAUUGCAACAUCACCAAAAUCACCAACAUGAGUGUCAUGCGGAAGCUAGUAGUCCCAAUCUUCCUUUACGCGACAGAGACGUGGACAGAAUAUCAAGUGAAACCCAUUGCCAGUUUGCGUCAGGCAGUCCACGGAGAUGGCGGGAGAUUGUAAGGAAAGCUGUAUUCGACUCUAAUACAAUUACGGCCAACGCAACAUGACCAUGGAGAAGAUGAUGGAGGUGCUCACCUGGGAUGGGAUCCUGGAGCAGUCUGUGUAGUAUAACGUCAAUAGGUAAAGCCACCGGCAGGUUGUCAGCGCGCGGGCCGCCGUCGGCUUUUUCAAAGGCAAAAACAUCGUACCUACAGCCAAACUCCGUAAAGACUGCGAAAUAUGUCCAGAACAACGGUCGUCACCAACAUUUCAAGAUUAAAGGUCUUCUUACUUAACGCCAAGCUCGUCAAGCUCUAAAAUAGCAUACUAAAUACAUUCUAUGCGUAUGUUAAAUGCAAGCAGUUCAUCACACGCAAUAGGCAGCUAGUUCAAAUUGUCGCAGCACUGGGGGCCAGACUUGUCGUCAUUAGCUCGGCGGUCAAAUGUAGUUUAGGUCAUCUUCACUGAUUUCUGAAUGUAUGUUGAUAGGAUAUUUAUGUGUUGAAACCGCCUUAUAAUUAAUAAAAUGUAUAAAAUAUUGGAUUUGUUAUUUUAUUUCAC